UGGGGAAUAUUGCACAAUGGGCGAAAGCCUGAUGCAGCAACGCCGCGUGAGUGAUGAAGGCCUUCGGGUUGUAAAGCUCUGUCUUUUGGGACGAUAAUGACGGUACCAAAGGAGGAAGCCACGGCUAACUACGCGCCAGCAGCCGCGGUAAUACGUAGGUGGCAAGCGUUGUCCGGAUUUACUGGGCGUAAAGGAUGCGUAGGCGGAUUUUUAAGUGAGAUGUGAAAACCCUAAGCUUAACUUGGGGACUGCAUUUCAUACUGGAAAUCUAGAGUGCGGGAGAGGAGAAUGGAAUUCCUAGUGUAGCGGUGAAAUGCGUAGAGAUUAGGAAGAACACCAGUGGCGAAGGCGAUUCUCUGGACCGUAACUGACGCUGAGGCAUGAAAGCGUGGGUAGCAAACAGGAUUAGAUACCCUGGUAGUCCACGCCGUAAACGAUGAGUACUAGGUGUAGGAGGUAUCGACCCCUUCUGUGCCGCAGUUAACACAAUAAGUACUCCGCCUGGGAAGUACGAUCGCAAGAUUAAAACUCAAAGGAAUUGAC
rnacentral:rRNA from 1 species